CCGCAUCACUUCCUGUCACCUGAAUGAUUGUGUGUGAGUUCAGUAGGAGUCGGUGGUACUCGGUAUGCAAAGAACUCUGUGAGUCUUAUUCUUAUUGAGAUCAUACAGUCUGAAGCUCAUCCUUAAUGCAGUGAACAGUGGGAAGUUUUGCAGUACUGCAGACUGAGAGCUGAAACUGAGUCUUACUGUGCUGAGAGGAUGGAAGCUGUUAAUGGUUGUGUUUCUGCCGGGUGAGAUUCAGAGAUGCAGACGUUUCAAUGAGCCCACAGAGAGAGAGAGAGAGAGAGAGAGAGAGAGAGAGAGAGAGAAUGACAGGAGGAUACUCGGCGUUCUGAAACAACCUUCAUCCCUCCUUUCUCAUUUCUCUUCUCUCUUGCUUCCCCCUCUCUCUCCCUCUCCCCCCCCCUCUCUCUCCCUCUCUCUGUUCUGUGUUUUGGCACUGGAAACUGCUUUCCUCUGUGGUGCUGCCACAGCUGUUUCCCAGGGCGGGGGUUGGGGGGGGGGCUUAUUUGGAGUGAAAUGGAGACCUCUGAAUAAUCUCCACGGGUCAAUACCUUCCAGGCAGCGAGGACGUUUUAUUCUCCCUACAGUGUAAUUCGGUAUUCUGGCUGUUUCGGUCUCUCUCUCUGUCUCUCUCUCUCUCUCUCUCUGUCUCCCUCUCUCCCUCUCUCCUCUCUCUCUCCCCCUCCUCUCUUGCUCUGCUGAGUUAGUGUGAGUCUAGGUCACUCUUGGGGCUGAAUUAGCCAGUGGACUGCGCCCAUGAGGUGAUCUACUAUACCAGGCCAGUCAUUCCUUAAUGGGCCAGUACUGUGACACGCCCUGCAGUGCAGUACAGUGUGUAGCUGUGUCUAAACUCUGCUCCUGUCCUACCUGCAGAGCUCACCUGUGAGCUGAACCUGAAGCCCCCAGGAAGGACCCAGGCAGGUGAGUACGUUCGUCUCCACAACUGCCUGAACACUACCCCUCCAUCCGUCCAUCUCUCUAAAUGGUAAAUGGACUGCAUUUAUAUAUGGUAAGUGGACUGCAUUUAUAUAUCGCUUUUCUCCAAAGCGCUUUACAACUGAUGCCUCUGAUUCACCAGAGCAGUUAGGGGUUAGGUGUCUUGCUCAGGGACACUUCGACACACCCAGGGCGGGGAUCGAACCGCCAACCUUCCGACUGCCAGACAACCGCUCUUACCUCCUGAACUAUGUCUCCUCGUACAUCUCUCUGCCCUCUCUCUCUCCCUCGCCCUCUCACGCUCUCUCUCCCCGCCCCUCCAUCUAUCCAUCUCUCUGCUCUCUCUCUCCCUCAGCCUCUCUCUCACUGUCCCCCUCCCUCUCUAUUUCACUCUCUCCUGCUCUCCCUCCCCCUCACUGUCCCUCUCUAUCUCCCCCCUUCUCUCUCACUACAUAUUCCUCUUUCGCCAUCCUUCCUCCUUAAAAGUAAAAGUCUAUGUUCACCAAAUAUUUAGAACAAAAUUGUUCUUCCAUAUACAUUUUUAACGUCUGGCUGGAAACACAUUUUGCUGAAAAUUCCGUGGGACCCAUAGCAGGUUUGUCCCAUUUUAUUCCAGCACCUAAAGGGUUAAGUUUAAAGAAUUGUGAUGAUGUCACUGACCCAGAUCUGAACACAUAGAGCCCCAGUGAGACAGACUCCGCCCGUCUGAGAAGAGAGAGAUGGACAGCCAGCAACGCUGUGCUCUCUCCAGUUUAUGGUGCGGGGGGAGGGGGGGUCAUGCACAUACACUCACUAUGUGACCCCCCCUUCACUGCUCUACCCAUCCAGACCUCUGCCCCCCCCACACUCGUCUGUCUUAUCCCUCUAUCUGCUUCUCCCAGUCUUCACUGCAGUGAGUGAGUGAGUGAGAGAGAGAGGGAGAGAGGGAGAGAGAGAGAGAGUGAGUGAGAGAGAGUGAGAGAGAGAGAGAGAGAGAGAGAGAUAUGAAGGUCGAUUAUUCUGAGGCCAUAUUUCUUUACUGGAAUCUUCCUUUCUCUCCCUCUCACUCUUUCCCUCUAUCUCAAUUCAAUUUUCAAUUCAGUAUGCUUUAUUGGCAUCUAGUAAACAUUGCCAAAGCAUUAUAUUACAAAAAAUUCAGAUAGAAGGGGGAAGAACUAUUGAAAGCAUUUUAGUUAUUAACUGUAAUUGUAAUAUUAGCAGGUUGAACAGGAUUGUGCUUGUUCUGUGUUUGGGCGUUUAGAAUACUGCGGAAAACCUUCCCCAGGUCACUGUUCAUGCAGAUGACUCGUAGUUGUAGUUGGGGUCAAAUUUGUCUCCAUUUUUGUGAACUGAAGUGCCUGUCUGCUGAGCCAGGUUGAAUAAUUUAAGUCAGGCUGUCUGCGGUUCAGAGUGACUGUGUUUCAGCAUUUUUUAGGUUGUAUUUUUUUAUUAUUAGAUCUUUCAGCUCUUAGUAAUUCUGUUGUCUUAUACGGUUUUAAUUGUUCUUUAUUGUUGAUUUUAAUAUAUUUUUUUCUUGUUCAAUUUCAGAGCAAAUGGUUUUUAUAGGAUUUUUUUUUUUGCAGAUUUCCUCAUUUUGUACCGGUAGUUCAUUGUUUUGCUGCUUAAAUUGUUAUUUUAAUAGUCUUCCUUUUCAAUAAGAGUUUUGUUUUCUUCUCUUUUAUGGUUUUUUAGAGUGUAGUUCUCUGGUAUAAAUCUGGGUUUUGUGGUUGAUGAGUUUCAGAUUUGUAAGGUGAGGGAGGGGUGAUUAUCGGGGACAGGAGACUGCGUUCAUUUGGGAACAUAGGAGUGUUACUGAGGGAGUCUUAUUCUUGGCAGGGUAAUGAUUUUACCCUAAACAUAUUACAUUAACCUGACAAAGCCUGCAUGUGUGUGUGUGUGUCUGCGUGCGUGUGUUAUGUGUGUGUAUGCGUGUGUGUAUCUGUGUGUGAGUGCGUAUGUGCAUGUAUAUCUAUGUGUGUGUGUGUGUGCGUGUGUUAUGUGUGUGUCUGUGUGUGUGUGUGUAUCUGUGUUUGUGUGUGUGUGUGCGUAUGUACAUGUAUAUCUGUGUGUGUGUUUGUGUGUGUGUGUGUGUGCGUAUGUGCAUGUAUAUCUGUGUGUGUGUGUGCGUGCGUGCGUGUGUUAUGUGUGUGUCUGUGUGUGUGUGUGUGUAUGCGUGUGUGUAUCUGUGUGUGUGUGUGUGCGUAUGUGCAUGUAUAUCUGUGUGUGUGUGUUUCUCAGAGGUGGAGGAAGAGGAGGAGCAGCUGAAGGCUCGCUGUGAGCAGGCGGAGGCUCGGCUGAGGGAGCAGCAGUGCACUCUGGGAGAUCUGCGGCGGGAGCUGAGCCAGAAGGGGGCGCUGGCGGGCGCGCUGCGGGCGGCGCUGAAGGACAGGGAGCGGCGCUUCCUGGACGAGCUGAAGAGGCGGAGCCACCGCGUGACGGCGCUGAGCGGCGAGCUGCAGCGGCAGACGGACUCCGCCGCGCGGCUGUCCUUCCAGCUGUACUCCGCCCGCCAGCGCCUGCAGCAGCAGGAGGAGGAGCCGCCGCGAAGCCCCGCCCCCCGGGGCGCGCACAGACCGCCCCCGACCCCGCCCCCGGCCCCGCCCCCCGCCGCCCGGCCCAAACGCCGCUCCCACAGGCCGGCGGCGGUGGUGCGGGCCGAGAGGGCCCGGGAGUGCGUCCCGCGGGAGAGGGUCACGGGCCCCGAAGACCCCGCCCCCAUGCCCGACCCCGCCCUCUUCCUGUACCCCCGUCGCCACAGGCCCCGCCCCCGCCACGCCCACAGAUCGCAGCGUGGCCAGGUGGUGGUGGCGGCGGAGGGGGGGAGGGAGGGGCCUGCCGAUGGGGGCGGGCCUCGCGUCGACCCCGCCCCCGCCGCGGGCAUCGCCACGGCAACAGAGGCGGAGUGAUCUCAUCGCCAUGGCCACCUUCAUUAUCGUUCACCAUUCUAAUUCUCCUCACUGCUAUUACGAUUCAUAAUGUCCUGUUAAAGUCUGUAUAAUCUCAUCUAACUAUGGAUAUGUCACAUGUCACGGAUAUAACCAGUGAUAAUUAAUAAUGAGUUUGAACUUUUUUUAAAAAUGUAUUUUUGCACUGCUAAUCACCAUGACAACGUGGUGAGGAGCGGUGACCUGAAUCGCUCCUUUGCCCCUCCUUUUUCAGAGCUUUCUGCAAAAGACAGAAACAAAGAGGUAAAAAAAGACGUGUGAAGAAAGAGAUGAUUUGUGGCUGGGAUCCUGAGGGAGGGCUGGUGUGGAUCUGACACAGCGGGGGGAGGGGGGGGGAGGGGGGGGGGUCUCCAGGUUCGGGAAAAAAUCCACUUUUUGACCCUAAAUCACUUUUAGAUCUGUGGUCCUUGUGCUCCUCAUGAACAUAAUAUGUGAUCGAAAGAUGAUCCGUUUGAAGCGGAGACCGAUCUUUCUUUAUUCUCUGUCUCACCUUUAAAUGAGGAUGAUUUUAUGUGACCUAUUUGUACUGCACUGUACCAAACACAGCUGCUGCUGCUACUGUGAGGUUAAAAACAGACAGCAGAUUGACUGAGAAAGGUAUAUCUCCUCUGUAAAGUGCUGCCUCUUUCUCUCCUGCAGUACCAGUGUGUGGCCUGUAGAGUCACACACUUGCUCACAUAUAGUGCAGAGGACUGUUGCAGUUCGCUGCUGUUAGCUGGCGUUACCCUGCCAUUAGCUGGACUUAGCUGCUGCUAGCUGGAGUCUGCUGGAGUUAGCUGCCCUUAGCUGUAGUUUGCUGCUGCUAGCUGGAGUCUGCUGGAGUUAGCUGCUGUUAGCUGUAGUUUGCUAGAGCUACUGUAGCUGGAGUUAGCUGCCGUUAGCUGUUGUUUGCUGGAGCUGGCUGCUGUUAGCUGGAUUUAGCUGCUGUUAGCUGGAGUUAGCUGCCGUUAGCUGGAGUUAGGUGGUGUUAGCUGGCUUUAGCUGGAAUUAUCCGCAGUUAGCUGGAGUUAGCUGUGUUAGCUGGCUUUAGCUGGAAUUAUCCACAGUUAGCUGGAGUUAGCUGUGUUAGCUGGCUUUAGCUGGAAUUAGCCACAGUUAGCUGGAGUUAGCUGGAGUUAGCUGCUGUUAGCUGGAGUGCUCUUGGUGUGGCUGUGAGACAUACUGAGCGGGCAGUUGUAAUGUUGACAGUUUAAAGAGAAGGUUUUCCAUAUGUCCUGUCCUGGCCACCACCAGGGGAGAGUAUUUAUUUAUUUAUUUAUUUAUUUAUUUAUUUAUUUAUUUAUUUAUUUGGUUGUUUGUUUAUUGACGUGCGGCUGUGCUGACAGUUGGGCCUGUGCUGACGCUGACCGGUGGACAGGUGUGUUGCACACAGGUGAGACAGGUGAGUCUGUGAGACUGCUCACCUGCAGUAAUCUCUCUACAGCCUGACUGGAGACAUGCAGGAGGUCACACCGUCUUUGAGAGGAGAGGAGGAGGGGUGGACAAGAAGAGGGGGAGGGAGGGAGGAGAGGGAAAAGAGGAGGAAGAAGAGAGAGGGAAACUUAGGUAUGAGUAACAGUGCUCUUGCAGUGUGUUUGCAGUAAAGACCGUGAACUGACCUACGCCAUUAGACUGCAGACUGUUAAACUGCAGACAGUGUUAGCCAAGGCUCUGUCCAUUUAUCUGCAGUGAAGCACACUCCAUCCAGUGGCCGGGUGAGGGAACUGCACUUAAUUAGUUUAGAAAGUCUGAUUGGUGACACACUGCUGUUAGCCUGUAGCCUGCUGUGUCCAGUCUAGUGCCAUGUAUCUAUAAUAGAUGUCACGUUGUGGCAUAAUUUAAAGGCAGAUUAAUCACCAGAUAAAUAUUAUAUGAAAUUAUAUAUGAAAUGUUUUUUCACAAUUUGUGUGUGUGUGUGUGUGUGUGUGCGCGUGUGUGUGUGUGUGUGUGUGUUUGUGUGUGUGUGUGUGUGUGUGUUUGUGUGUGUGUGUGUGUGUGUGUGUGUGUACGCAUGUGUGUGUGUGUGUGUGUGUAUAAAACUGUAUGAGGCAGGUUAUGGGAGCCAGAGAGGCUUAAAUUUAAACAGUGUAUAUUUUUGCUUAAAUGUACUUAAUUUAUUUGGUAAUGUGAUAAAACCUGAAGCACCUAAUUAAAAAAUUCAGUCUUGACUUUGAAUGACAAGCCGUCACAAUACCAACUUCGUUAGUGGGUGAAAGACAGGAUUGCCCUCGUUUUAUAUUAAUUACUUAAUGCUUACAUUUCAGGUAUUAUAUUUAAAAAGCUGAGAAUAUUCCUGUGCACUGGCAGUUUUUGUGUAUAAACACAGCCAACAUAACUUCCACUGCUGCAUCUGUUUGUUUAUAUUUUGCCAGUUUUUAUAUAUAGUUGUAACUGCAACUGUGUUAUAAAUCGAGUACUGGCUUUCACUUUCUGAGGGAUUCGGCCAUCUUGAUUUUAAUGCAAACACAUCUUUAAGCUAUCGUAAAUUUUCCCACAGAGCACCAGUGCACAUCAGUUCCAGUUGCUAUUUUAAUUUUUUUUUGGUUGUUGUUUUUUUGUUUAUGGGAUCCCACCCUGGGUUCGCUUCGGUCCUCCGGCCCAAACCUCGCCCGGUCACGCCCUCGUAUUCGUGGCAACCCUCGGCCUGCCAUGGCCUCGUUGCCGUGGCAACCCCCUCCCCCGAACGGUGUUGACCGGGCCGGGAGUGUGAGGCCAGGAUGCUGGACCAGGGCCAAAUCCGGGGAGCGCGACACGCCUGGUCCCGCCAUCUGUAAACGGACGUGCUAGCCCCCCCCAGGGGCUGCUGGGAGAUCUCAGACGAUGAUGGACACCUGCUCUGUGUGGUUUUUAACGGCGUAAAUGUUUUUUUUUUUUACAAUAUUAUCUUACAUAUCGCCAAAAAUAUCAGCUUAUGAGGACGUUCUCACGCGGAGAGAUGCUAGGAUAUCGCUCGGUCCUUGCAUGUGCCAGGGGGAGGUCCCCCCCCCCCGACUACACCCCAGUUUAGUCUUCCCGCCUCUCUGAGCGACGGCAACAGCAGCUCAACAUGCACUGAAAACGCAACAGCCACAGCCAAUCAAAGCACAGAGAAACCGUCCUCACCAGAUGGUUCUACAGCCAUCAGCCAAUCAGCAUGUCCCUGGAGGGAGUUUGCUGUUGGUUGGCUUUGCUCGUUUUUCACUCCAGAUCUUUUAAAUGACAAUGAAAGGGACUGAGGGAGGAUGCUACCUUUCAGCCGGAAACCACCAAAGCUGUGCUGCUUGAAAUACGGUCAGCCGCGUGUCACACUUAAAUGCUUCCCCGCGACAACUCUUCCCUUAGUUCUGCUGUUAGAGCUUUUGUUUGCUAGGUUCAUUUUUGCUUACAUGCUGGUUUAUCAGAGGAUCUUUUGUGGGACAAAACUGCAGUUUAAUUGCCUAAAAUGCAGUGUGGUACAGCGCUGCACUGACAGACG